rnacentral:rRNA from 1 species
ACGGAAGGCAGCAGUGGGGAAUAUUGGGCAAUGGGGGAAACCCUGACCCAGCAACGCCGCGUGAAGGAAGAAGGCCCUCGGGUUGUAAACUUCUUUUACCAGGGACGAAACAAUGACGGUACCUGGAGAAAAAGCAACGGCUAACUACGUGCCAGCAGCCGCGGUAAUACGUAGGUUGCAAGCGUUGUCCGGAUUUACUGGGUGUAAAGGGCGUGUAGGCGGAGAAGCAAGUCAGAUGUGAAAUCCCGGGGCUUAACCCCGGAACUGCAUUUGAAACUGUUUCCCUUGAGUAUCGGAGAGGCAAGCGGAAUUCCUAGUGUAGCGGUGAAAUGCGUAGAUAUUAAGAGGAACACCAGUGGCGAAGGCGGCCUGCUGGACGACAACUGACGCUGAGGCGCGAAAGCGUGGGGAGCAAACAGGAUUAGAUACCCUGGUA